rnacentral:rRNA from 1 species
UACAGAGGCCUCAAGCGUUAGGCGGAAUCACUGGGCUUAAAGCGUGUGUAGGUGGAUGCCUAAGUGUUUUGUGAAAUCCCACGGCUUAACCGUGGAAUUGCUUGACAUACUGGGUGUCUUGAGCCACUCAGGGGCUACCGGAACUAACGGUGGAGCGGUGAAAUGCGUAGAUAUCGUUAGGAACGCCAAUGGUGAAAACAGGUAGCUGGGGGUGUGCUGACACUGAGACACGAAAGCCAGGGGAGCAAACGGG